rnacentral:lncRNA from 1 species
UGAUCGUGACUCUGUUCAGUCCUCUGUAGUCAAUACAUAAACUUAACGUCCAAUUCCCCUUCCUUGCAAAUGUGACUCCGGCACCCCUUAGGACACACUAUGUCAUAUGAAUCCAUUAUCUUGCAAUUCAUUGAUCUGUUUCCUCAACUCCUCCAUCUCAACACGACUCACGCAGUAAGGGGCAAUCGAAAUAGGCUGAGUGUCUGGCUGGAGGUCUAUGGUGAACUCAACUUCUAUAUCCACUUAUAAUUUGAAAAGUUCAUCAGGAAACACAUUCGAGAAGUCUCAGACUACUAGAAUCUCUUAAAUACAAAUUUAUUUCUUAAGUUUACCCAGUAUAGAGAAAACAAUCGA